rnacentral:rRNA from 1 species
UCAAGUAAUUAAGUGCAUGUGGUGGAUGCCUUGGCAGUCAGAGGCGAUGAAAGACGUGAUAGCCUGCGAAAAGCUCCGGGGAGGCGGCAAAUAUCCUUUGAUCCGGAGAUGUCUGAAUGGGGGAACCCACCUACUUUAAGGUAGGUAUUGCAACAUGAAUACAUAGUGUUGCAAGGCGAACGAGGGGAAGUGAAACAUCUCAGUACCCUUAGGAAAGAAAUCAAUUGAGAUUCCCUCAGUAGCGGCGAGCGAACGGGGAUCAGCCCAUUAAGUUAUGUGUGUUUUAGUGGAACGCUCUGGGAAGUGCGAACGUAGAGGGUGAUAUUCCCGUACACGAAAGGGCACACAUAAUGAUGACGAGUAGGGCGAGGCACGUGAAACCUUGUCUGAAUAUGGGGGACCAUCCUCCAAGGCUAAAUACUCCUGACUGACCGAUAGUGAACCAGUACCGUGAGGGAAAGGCGAAAAGAACCCCUGUGAGGGAGUGAAAUAGAUCCUGAAACCGCAUGCAUACAAGCAGUGGGAGCACCUUCGUGGUGUGACUGCGUACCUUUUGUAUAAUGGGUCAGCGACUUAUAUUCAGUAGCGAGGUUAACCGUAUAGGGGAGCCGUAGAGAAAUCGAGUCUUAAUAGGGCGUUUAGUUGCUGGGUAUAGACCCGAAACCAGGCGAUCUAUCCAUGAGCAGGUUGAAGGUUGGGUAACACUAACUGGAGGACCGAACCCACUGUCGUUGAAAAGCCAGGGGAUGACUUGUGGAUAGGGGUGAAAGGCUAAUCAAGCCUGGUGAUAGCUGGUUCUCCCCGAAAGCUAUUUAGGUAGCGCCUCGGACGAAUACCAUAGGGGGUAGAGCACUGUUUCGGCUAGGGGGUCAUCCCGACUUACCAAACCGAUGCAAACUCCGAAUACCUAUGAGUACUAUCCGGGAGACAGACUGCGGGUGCUAACGUCCGUAGUCAAGAGGAAAACAAUCCAGACCGCCAGCUAAGGCCCCAAAAUCAUAGUUAAGUGGGAAACGAUGUGGGAAGGCAUAGACAGCUAGGAGGUUGGCUUAGAAGCAGCCACCCUUUAAAGAAAGCGUAAUAGCUCACUAGUCGAGUCGGCCUGCGCGGAAGAUGUAACGGGGCUAAAACUAUGUGCCGAAGCUGCGGAUGUAUACUUUGUAUACGUGGUAGGGGAGCGUUCUGUAAGCCGAUGAAGGUGUGUUGAGAAGCAUGCUGGAGGUAUCAGAAGUGCGAAUGCUGACGUGAGUAACGACAAAACGGGUGAAAAACCCGUUCGCCGAAAGACCAAGGGUUCCAGUCCAACGUUAAUCGGGGCUGGGUGAGUCGACCCCUAAGGCGAGGCCGAAAGGCGUAGUCGAUGGGAAAAUGGUUAAUAUUCCAUUACUUCUGUGUAAUGCGAUGAGAGGACGGAGAAGGCUAAAUCAGCCUGGCGUUGGUUGUCCAGGUGAAAGGAUGUAGGCAUGUAUCUUAGGCAAAUCCGGGGUACUCUAUGCUGAGAUCUGAUAGCAAGCUGUACUUGUACAGCGAAGUGGUUGAUGCCAUGCUUCCAGGAAAAGUCUCUAAGCUUCAGUUACACAGGAAUCGUACCCGAAACCGACACAGGUGGUCAGGUCGAGUAGACCAAGGCGCUUGAGAGAACUCUGCUGAAGGAACUAGGCAAAAUGGUACCGUAACUUCGGGAGAAGGUACGCUGUUGUUGGUGAUGGAACUCGCUUCCUGAGCUGACGACAGCCGCAGAAACCAGGCCGCUGCAACUGUUUAUUAAAAACAUAGCACUCUGCAAACACGAAAGUGGACGUAUAGGGUGUGAUGCCUGCCCGGUGCUGGAAGGUUAAUUGAUGGGGUUAGCGUAAGCGAAGCUCUUGAUCGAAGCCCCAGUAAACGGCGGCCGUAACUAUAACGGUCCUAAGGUAGCGAAAUUCCUUGUCGGGUAAGUUCCGACCUGCACGAAUGGCAUAAUGAUGGCGGCGCUGUCUCCAGCAGAGGCUCAGUGAAAUCGAAAUCGCUGUGAAGAUGCAGUGUACCCGCGGCUAGACGGAAAGACCCCGUGAACCUUUACUGCAGCUUGACACUGAACUUUGACCUUACUUGUGUAGGAUAGGUGGGAGGCUUUGAAGCUGGAACGCUAGUUCCAGUGGAGCCGUCCUUGAAAUACCACCCUGGUAAUGUUGAGGUUCUAACUCUGUCCCGUGAUCCGGGACGAGGACCGUGUCUGGUGGGUAGUUUGACUGGGGCGGUCUCCUCCUAAAGAGUAACGGAGGAGUACGAAGGUGCGCUCAGCGUGGUCGGAAAUCACGCGUAGAGUAUAAAGGCAAAAGCGCGCUUAACUGCGAGACCCACAAGUCGAGCAGGUACGAAAGUAGGUCUUAGUGAUCCGGUGGUUCUGUAUGGAAGGGCCAUCGCUCAACGGAUAAAAGGUACUCUGGGGAUAACAGGCUGAUACCGCCCAAGAGUUCAUAUCGACGGCGGUGUUUGGCACCUCGAUGUCGGCUCAUCUCAUCCUGGGGCUGAAGCAGGUCCCAAGGGUAUGGCUGUUCGCCAUUUAAAGAGGUACGCGAGCUGGGUUUAGAACGUCGUGAGACAGUUCGGUCCCUAUCUACCGUGGGCGCUGGAAAUUUGAGAGGAUCUGCUCCUAGUACGAGAGGACCAGAGUGGACGAACCUCUGGUGUACCGGUUGUGACGCCAGUCGCAUCGCCGGGUAGCUAUGUUCGGAAGGGAUAACCGCUGAAAGCAUCUAAGCGGGAAGCCUACCUCAAGAUAAGAUUUCCCUAGGACUUUAUGUCCUCUAAAGAGCCGUUCGAGACUAGGACGUUGAUAGGUUGGAUGUGGAAGCAUAGUGAUAUGUGAAGCUGACCAAUACUAAUUGCUCGUGAGGCUUGACUAU